GUGAGGAGGUGCUGGGUGAAAAGAGGAAGGGAGGGACCGGGCUGGAAUAACAUCCAGGCAGAGGGGAUAGCAUAUGCAAAGGCCCUGACGCAGGAGGGAAUGUCGACCUUUCAAGGAAGAGAAAAGCAAUGUAUCUGGAGCAAAGAAGUGAUAAAAAGAGGGCCGUGGGAGAUGGAGAUCCAGAGAAGAGGGUCAGGAAGGAAGAAUUAAGUCACCCAGUGUUGAUAGGAUGGGCUUAGGUCUCUGGCUGUCAAACAAUAGGAAACAUUAAAGAAGUUUAAAGCUGAACGACAUGAUCAGAUCUUCAUUUGACUGGGGACCUUAAAUCAUGGCUGGAAUCCCUAAAACACACAAACUUUGUGGCUGGGUCAUUUCCCCCUUUGUAAAAUUUGAGUCAACAGGACCACCUCCCUGGACCUUUACAAUUUAAUUAGGUGUCUACUUAAUGCCAUGUGGACAUAAUCUUCCCUGCUAUGGAUGAGGAAACUAAGGCUCAGAGAGGUGAAGUGAUUUGCCCAUGGACGCACAGCAGGAGAGUGGCAAAGGCCCUGGUUCCUUGGCCUCCCUCCAGUCAGCGCUAGCUGUCCCUUCCAGGAGAUCCUUACCAGGAGGUAAGCUUUCAGCUAGCCUCUGCUACUGCUGAGGCCACAUCUGGCCCAAGGAAGCGCUCAGGUUUUUUGGCCUUGCCUGAAAAACUGGCUCGACCUGUGACCACCCGUGUCGGAGCUGAUGGCGAGUCCAUCCUUCAGUUGCACAAGUCACUGGGACCUGGCUGCCUUGUUCUCACAUCCUGCGCCCAACCCGUCCGGUCCUCUGGUGCACUCCCCAUCAGCACCUACUCACAGUCUCCACAGCCUGGACCAGCCACCAUCCUCUCUCUCCUGGAUGAUGGCAAAGGCCUUCCCUCAGGCUUCUCUGAUUCUCAUUCUUGCCUCCUGCAGCCUGUUCCCAGCAGGGCCAACAAGGGGCCCUUUGAAAUCCUAGAUCAGAUUGUGUCACUCUUGGUAGGUAGCUCCACCUGCGCCUGCACUUACUGAGACGGAAACAGGAAUCAGAGCAAUGGAGGUCAAAGUGCUGGUUUAUUCCUAGGAAAGCUAUGCUAGAAGACAUGGCUCAGGUGUGACAGUGGGUGUGUCAAAACUCUUCUGAGUUGCAUACACUUGCCCAAAACUUCAGGCAGGGCUCUGAUAAGGUGGCCAAGCAAGUGGACCAAAACAUGCUUUACCUGAAGGCAGGCAGAUGUGGAGGAGAGGGAGGGGACAGGUCUGAGCCAGCAUCAUCUCUCCAAAUUCUCACUUGAAGGAGAGAGUAAAAGAUUGAGAGAGAAGCCAGGAGGGUUCUGGGGAUGUUCCUCCACCAGGAGACUGUACAAGUGGGAAAUAAUUAUUCCUUUUCAUUUUCUACCUAUGUGUCAGAAUGAUAAGAUUAGUUUUCGUGGUCCAGAGAAGUUCAGGUCUACAGCCAGAUCUGUCAAGGGAGGGGAUGGAUUUGGACUUUGGGAGCAUGGAAACUGGAGGAUGUUAGUAAUAUAUGCUUCAAUAUGGAAGGCAUUUCUGACAUGGCUCCACAAUCCACUCCCUGCUAGUCAUGUCCUGGUGUAAUCCCCUCCCAUAAAAAGUGAUGGAAUGUCCCUUCUUAGAUACGAUCAUACAGUCAUUGAAGGACUGAGGUUCUUAGCCUCCUAACCUAUGCAAUACUGACUCCUGUCUACACUACACAAGUGAUCUUAAAAGCUGAUGCUUCCCCAAUGGAGCCUCAAAAUAUCUACAGCCCUGGGUGACACCUUGCUUGCUCCUAUGAGAGACCUUGAUGCAGAAGCCAAGAUAAGCCAUGCAAUUCCUGAAUACAGAAACUGAGGUGACAAACUGUGUUAAGGCAUGAUGCUUUGGACUGAUUUCUUUUGCAGCAAUAGCUAACUGAUACAUGGUCCCUUAGUACAGUGCUCAGCAUCUAAAUGCUCAUAGAAGGGACAUUCUUUUUUUUGAUAUAUCUGACUCCAAAAUCACUUCUCCAGCUGUCUUUCAAGAGUGGCUGAGAGGGACUUCUCGGGCGGUCCAGGGACUAAGUCUGCACGCCCAGUGCAGGGGGGCCCGUGUUCAAUCCCUGGUCAGGAAACUGGAUUCCACAUGCUGCUACAAAGAGUUCGCACGCCAUA